rnacentral:lncRNA from 1 species
UAGGGCGUGUUUGAUAUUGGCUAAUACACUGUAUUAGCUAAUUUAGUACAGAUCAGUCUAGUGUUUGGUAUUAUUUAGUAAUAAUACGGAUGACCCGGUUUAAUCCCACGACCCAGUAUUAUUAAUCCAGAUUUCUUAGGAUUAAUAAUACCACCUUCCCCCUAGGAUUAACUUAAACCAGGAUAUUCUGUAUUUAGUCAUGAUAGCAAACACCAACUCAGUAUUAAUAAUUUGUCAUUAUCCACGCUAAAUAUUCUGGUUACAAAUUAUCCUACAUAAUCCUUU